UCACUGCUUGUAGCAAGAACCAGGGUCCAAUGGAGCAGUUCUGCCUGGUCCUGCUACCGGCGCAGCAGCAACCCCCCUUUGGUUGAGCAAACAUCUGAAUCUAGCCAAUCUUCCUGUGGCUUGCCUUGGGUCCUUCGCUAGUUUGUCAAGAGGAGUCCACAACCUCUCUUUGGAAAAAACAAACCGAUUGCAGAAUUCGGUAGAUUCACGAAAGAUGAUCAGAAACACUUAAUUAACAAUGGCGUGAAUUUUGACAAACAGUUUAUACAAGUAUUGAUCUUUAUCUCUGCUUUUGAUACUACACAAUACAUUUUUCAGAUAUGAGUAGCAUGCAUGUUGAAGAAGACAACUUGAUAAUAUGAUUCUGUCGAAGUAAGGAGACAGCAGAGGUAGCACUCGGCUGGUUUGGUGCAGUUUUCGCCAGUAUUACCUGCAGCAGCUGCAGCACGAGGCCAGAUGGUUUGCUCGAUAUCAGAGGCAUCAAUACUUUCUCCCCACAUGCACACCUC